UCACCAAGACCUGGAUGCAUAGCGGACUUGAGAGGGUAAUCGGGCAACAUUGGGACUGAGACCCCGCCCCAGAUUCCUACGGGAGGCAGCAGUAGGGAAUCUUCCACAAUGGACGAAAGUCUGAUGGAGCAACGCCGCUUGAGUGAAGAAGGUUUUCGGAUCGUAAAACUCUGUUGUUGGAGAAGAAUGUAUCUGAUAGUAACUGAUCAGGUAGUGACGGUAUCCAACCAGAAAGCCACGGCUAAUUACGUGCCAGCAGCCGCGGUAAUACGUAGGUGGCAAGCGUUGUCCGGAUUUAUUGGGCGUAAAGCGAGCGCAGGCGGUUUCUUAAGUCUGAUGUGAAAGCCUUCGGCUCAACCGAAGAAGUGCAUCGGAAACUGGGAAACUUGAGUGCAGAAGAGGACAGUGGAACUCCAUGUGUAGCGGUGAAAUGCGUAGAUAUAUGGAAGAACACCAGUGGCGAAGGCGGCUGUCUGGUCUGUAACUGACGCUGAGGCUCGAAAGCAUGGGUAGCAAACAGGAUUAGAUACCCUGGUAGUCCAUGCCGUAAACGAUGAGUGCUAGGUGUUGGAGGGUUUCCGCCCUUCAGUGCCGCAGCUAACGCAUUAAGCACUCCGCCUGGGGAGUACGACCGCAAGGUUGAAACUCAAAGGAAUUGACGGGGGCCCGCACAAGCGGUGGAGCAUGUGGUUUAAUUCGAAGCAACGCGAAGAACCUUACCAGGUCUUGACAUCCUUUGACCACUCUAGAGAUAGAGCUUUCCCUUCGGGGACAAAGUGACAGGUGGUGCAUGGUUGUCGUCAGCUCGUGUCGUGAGAUGUUGGGUUAAGUCCCGCAACGAGCGCAACCCUUAUUACUAGUUGCCAGCAUUUAGUUGGGCACUCUAGUGAGACUGCCGGUGACAAACCGGAGGAAGGUGGGGACGACGUCAAAUCAUCAUGCCCCUUAUGACCUGGGCUACACACGUGCUACAAUGGAUGGUACAACGAGUUGCGAGACC
rnacentral:rRNA from 2 species